rnacentral:lncRNA from 1 species
GGAGAGAGUGCUACAGUGGUUCUUGCAUCCAGGCUUGGCCUUGCUUUCCAUACAACUAUUUGCAAAGGAAACUGAGAUCCUUAGCUUCCAUCAUGGCUGUACUGGGUGGGCACACAGUCCCUUUUAUUAAGGCUCACAUUAUUCAUUGACUGUGGUUUAAGGUCAUGACAAACAAGAAAAUCACAGCAGUUGAAGAAUUCACACAAGGGUUUUCCGACUUUUUACUUUUUGUACAUGUCACCAUGCCUGAUUCCCUGCCUUUUUGUUUUGGGGUUGGGGGAUUGAACCCAGGGGAACUUUACCACUGAGCUACAUCCCCAGCUAUUUUUAUUUUUGAGACAGUAGUAACUAAGUUGCUACUUAGGGCCUCACUAAGUCCUGAGGCCAGCCUCGAACUUGUGAUCCUCCUGCCUCAGCCUCCCAAGCCACUAGGAUUAUAGGCAUGCACCACCACACACAGCUUCCCUGCCUUUUUAAAAUUAAGCUGCAGGAAGGGGGGGUUGGGGUUGUAGCUCAGAAGAGCGCUUGCCUAGCAUGUGUGAGGCACUGGGUUCAAUUCUUGGUACCAACUAUAACUAAAUAAAAUAAAGAUCUGUCAACAACUAAAAAAAAAUUUUUAAAAGAAAAAAAAAUUAAGCUCAAGGGAUGCUCCUUAUUUAUCAGUCUUCCUGCUCUUCUAAACAGCUUUCUAGUACCUCCC